GGAUGAUGUGCUGGUGUGGAACCAGGAAGUGGUAACUCCUUGAACCUCAUCACUCCUUCACACCUUCCGUGUGACUCAUUUUGAUGAAAUUCAACGAACUCCGAGCACCUGCUCACGGAGUAGAGUCUUUUUUAGCUAGAAAGCUCCACAGCUCCCCUCCCCCAAGAUUCGGGAACCCAGGCCAUGAAGAGGCUCAGCAGAGUGACCAGUGGACCUCAGGGGACAGUGCCCCUUCCCGGCUACCCCUGACUGUGCCAGUGCCCUCAUCCCUUUGCUGGGUGCAGUGGGGACUGGCCUUCCAGGGGCUCACAGAUGCAGACUCUACCACCCCGUCUUCCCAUUCCUGUGACCAUCUGGGAAUGAAGACCCCAGGGCCCCUGGAAUCUCAAGUCAGUUGCCCACGAACCACGUGCUCUUGAAGAGGUGACCUUUAGUCCUUG
rnacentral:lncRNA from 1 species